UACGAAGGGUGCAAACGUUGCUCGGAAUUAUUGGGCGUAAAGCGCACGUAGGCGGCUUGGCAAGUCGGAUGUGAAAUCCCUCGGCUCAACCAAGGAAGUGCAUCCGAAACUGCUGAGCUUGAGUACGAAAGAGGAUCGCGGAAUUCCCGGUGUAGAGGUGAAAUUCGUAGAUAUCGGGAGGAACACCAGUGGCGAAGGCGGCGAUCUGGGUCGAUACUGACGCUGAGGUGCGAAAGCGUGGGGAGCGAACAGG
rnacentral:rRNA from 1 species